rnacentral:lncRNA from 1 species
GGAGAAAGGGUUUUUGGUUCGCCCAGAGCGACGGGAGGUCCGAAAUCACGGAGAGAGAGAGAGAGAGAGAGAGAGAGAGAGAGAGAGAGAGAGAGGAAUCCCGGGAAAUCUGUAGAGGCGGCGCCGGAGUACCAACCCUAGGCGAACCUAGGGUUUGUUGAGAGGGGCAGAGGAAUCCCGAAAAAUCUGCAGAGGCGGCGAGAGAAGAAACGGAGAGAGGGUUAGGGUUCGUUGAAAAGGAGAAAGGGUAAGGGAGAGUAGGGUGCAGAGAAGAAUAGGGCCCCACAUCUCAGAGAGAGAAAAUGAGAGAGGGUAAGAGAGAGUAGGGUGCGGGAGGUCCGAAAUCACGGAGAACGCAGGAAAGGGUUUAAGGGAGAGACCCGAAAUCACGGAGAACGCAGCAAAGGGGUUAAGGGUUCACCCUUUAAUGAUAUUGGAUAGAUACUUUCGGCGAUUCCCAGUUGUAAUAGCUUCAGUAGGUUUAGUAGAAAUAGCUUCAACAAUGUUUAUUCUAUUUUGGAUGUUUGGCCAAGACCUCGAGUUCAUGAAGGCUUUUUUUGCAUUUGGCCCUCUCAAAAAAGGUUUUUUUCAUAAAUAGUCCGAUCAAAUUUAUAAUUACAAUUUUGGUUAUAUUUCUAUCACGUAGGCGUCAUAUCAGCGCCAUUCAAGCUGGUUCGAGCUGGAUGGGGAGGGGCGUUAAGUUGAACGCGGUAAAUGGUAUACCGUGUUUCAUAUUUAUAUUUUUUCUAUUCAAAAUAUAUAUUUUUUCGCAAUACAUAUAUAUUUUUCCCUAGUCAUGGUGAACCAUUCGCCGGUAUUCAACUUAUUCCACCUCCCUCAUUUCUGCUCGCGUGGCGCUGAUAUGACGCCUGCGUGACAAGGAUAGCACUAAAAUUAUAAUUAUAAAUUUGAUAGGACUAUUUAUAAAAAUAAUUUUUUUGAGGGAUCCAAAUGCGAAAAAAAUCUCAAUUUAUAAAUUUUGUAGGACUAUUUGUAAAAAUAAAAUUUGCGAUGGGGCUAUAUACAAA